UACGAAGGGGGCUAGCGUUGCUCGGAAUUACUGGGCGUAAAGCGCACGUAGGCGGCUUUCUAAGUCGGGGGUGAAAUCCCAGAGCUCAACUCUGGAACUGCCUUUGAUACUGGGUAUCUCGAGUAUGGAAGAGGUGAGUGGAAUUCCGAGUGUAGAGGUGAAAUUCGUAGAUAUUCGGAGGAACACCAGUGGCGAAGGCGGCUCACUGGUCCAUUACUGACGCUGAGGUGCGAAAGCGUGGGGAGCAAACAGG
rnacentral:rRNA from 1 species